rnacentral:snoRNA from 1 species
UCAAAUGAUGAUACGGCACUGGGCUCCGACAGCUCUCGACAAGAUCGGGACUGGUUCAUGACAGGAGAUGCCUUUUUGCGGCAGGCCUAGAAAACCUCGCCCACUGAUC